rnacentral:rRNA from 1 species
UACGGAGGAUGCGAGCGUUAUCCGGAUUUAUUGGGUUUAAAGGGUGCGUAGGCGGAUCGUUAAGUCAGUGGUCAAAUUGAGGGGCUCAACCCCUUCCCGCCAUUGAAACUGGCGAUCUUGAGUGGAAGAGAAGUAUGCGGAAUGCGUGGUGUAGCGGUGAAAUGCAUAGAUAUCACGCAGAACCCCGAUUGCAGAGGCAGCCUUCCGGCGCCCUACUGACGCUGAGGCACGAAAGUGCGGGGAUCGAACAGG